rnacentral:rRNA from 1 species
CAGUCGAGCGGACCUUUUAAAGCUUGCGUUUUGAAAGGUCAGCGGCGGACGGGUGAGUAACACGUGGGCAACCUGCCUGUAAGACUGGGAUAACUUCGGGAAACCGGAGCUAAUACCGGAUAAUAUAAGGAACCUCCUGGUUCUUUAUUGAAAGAUGGUUUCGGCUAUCACUUACAGAUGGGCCCGCGGCGCAUUAGCUAGUUGGUGAGGUAACGGCUCACCAAGGCGACGAUGCGUAGCCGACCUGAGAGGGUGAUCGGCCACACUGGGACUGAGACACGGCCCAGACUCCUACGGGAGGCAGCAGUAGGGAAUCUUCCACAAUGGACGAAAGUCUGAUGGAGCAACGCCGCGUGAGCGAUGAAGGCCUUCGGGUCGUAAAGCUCUGUUGUUAGGGAAGAACAAGUGCGAGAGUAACUGCUCGCACCUUGACGGUACCUAACCAGAAAGCCACGGCUAACUACGUGCCAGCAGCCGCGGUAAUACGUAGGUGGCAAGCGUUGUCCGGAAUUAUUGGGCGUAAAGCGCGCGCAGGUGGUCCUUUAAGUCUGAUGUGAAAGCCCACGGCUCAACCGUGGAGGGUCAUUGGAAA